rnacentral:rRNA from 1 species
AUUGAACGCUGGCGGCAGGCCUAACACAUGCAAGUCGAACGGUAACAGGAAACAGCUUGCUGUUUCGCUGACGAGUGGCGGACGGGUGAGUAAUGUCUGGGAAACUGCCUGAUGGAGGGGGAUAACUACUGGAAACGGUAGCUAAUUCCGCAUAACGUCGCAAGACCAAAGAGGGGGACCCUCGGGCCUCUUGCCAUCGGAUGUGCCCAGAUGGGAUUAGCUUGUUGGUGGGGUAACGGCUCACCAAGGCGACGAUCCCUAGCUGGUCUGAGAGGAUGACCAGCCACACUGGAACUGAGACACGGUCCAGACUCCUACGGGAGGCAGCAGUGGGGAAUAUUGCACAAUGGGCGCAAGCCUGAUGCAGCCAUGCCGCGUGUAUGAAGAAGGCCUUCGGGUUGUAAAGUACUUUCAGCGGGGAGGAAGGGAGUAAAGUUAAUACCUUUGCUCAUUGACGUUACCCGCAGAAGAAGCACCGGCUAACUCCGUG